rnacentral:rRNA from 1 species
AGAACGAACGCUGGCGGCAUGCCUAAUACAUGCAAGUCGAACGAACACUUCGGUGUUAGUGGCGCACGGGUGCGUAACGCGUGGGAAUCUGCCCUUGGGUUCGGAAUAACAGUUGGAAACGACUGCUAAUACCGGAUGAUAUCGAAAGAUCAAAGAUUUAUCGCCCAGGGAUGAGCCCGCGUAGGAUUAGCUAGUUGGUGAGGUAAAGGCUCACCAAGGCGACGAUCCUUAGCUGGUCUGAGAGGAUGAUCAGCCACACUGGGACUGAGACACGGCCCAGACUCCUACGGGAGGCAGCAGUAGGGAAUCUUGCGCAAUGGGCGAAAGCCUGACGCAGCCAUGCCGCGUGAAUGAUGAAGGUCUUAGGAUUGUAAAAUUCUUUACACCGGGAAGAUAAUGACGGUACCCGGAGAAGAAGCCCGGCUAACUUCGUGCCAGCAGCCGC